rnacentral:rRNA from 1 species
GUGCCAGCCGCCGCGGUAAUACGUAGGUGGCAAGCGUUAUCCGGAAUUAUUGGGCGUAAAGCGCGCGUAGGCGGUUUUUUAAGUCUGAUGUGAAAGCCCACGGCUCAACCGUGGAGGGUCAUUGGAAACUGGAAAACUUGAGUGCAGAAGAGGAAAGUGGAAUUCCAUGUGUAGCGGUGAAAUGCGCAGAGAUAUGGAGGAACACCAGCGGCGAAGGCGACUUUCUGGUCUGUAACUGACGCUGAUGUGCGAAAGCGUGGGGAUCAAACAGG